AGCCCAGAGCCUGAAUCAGUGUGUGUGUUAGUGGAAGCGUCUGGAAAGGCGCGCGAUACAGGGUGACAGCCCCGUACACAAAAAUACACAUAUUGUGAGCUCGAUGAGUAGGGCGGGACACGUGGUAUCCUGUCUGAAUAUGGGGGGACCAUCCUCCAAGGCUAAAUACUCCUGACUGACCGAUAGUGAACCAGUACCGUGAGGGAAAGGCGAAAAGAACCCCGGCGAGGGGAGUGAAAAAGAACCUGAAACCGUGUACGUACAAGCAGUGGGAGCACGCUUAGGCGUGUGACUGCGUACCUUUUGUAUAAUGGGUCAGCGACUUAUAUUCUGUAGCAAGGUUAACCGAAUAGGGGAGCCGAAGGGAAACCGAGUCUUAACUGGGCGUUAAGUUGCAGGGUAUAGACCCGAAACCCGGUGAUCUAGCCAUGGGCAGGUUGAAGGUUGGGUAACACUAACUGGAGGACCGAACCGACUAAUGUUGAAAAAUUAGCGGAUGACUUGUGGCUGGGGGUGAAAGGCCAAUCAAACCGGGAGAUAGCUGGUUCUCCCCGAAAGCUAUUUAGGUAGCGCCUCGUGAAUUCAUCUCCGGGGGUAGAGCACUGUUUCGGCAAGGGGGUCAUCCCGACUUACCAACCCGAUGCAAACUGCGAAUACCGGAGAAUGUUAUCACGGGAGACACACGGCGGGUGCUAACGUCCGUCGUGAAGAGGGAAACAACCCAGACCGCCAGCUAAGGUCCCAAAGUCAUGGUUAAGUGGGAAACGAUGUGGGAAGGCCCAGACAGCCAGGAUGUUGGCUUAGAAGCAGCCAUCAUUUAAAGAAAGCGUAAUAGCUCACUGGUCGAGUCGGCCUGCGCGGAAGAUGUAACGGGGCUAAACCAUGCACCGAAGCUGCGGCAGCGACGCUUAUGCGUUGUUGGGUAGGGGAGCGUUCUGUAAGCCUGCGAAGGUGUGCUGUGAGGCAUGCUGGAGGUAUCAGAAGUGCGAAUGCUGACAUAAGUAACGAUAAAGCGGGUGAAAAGCCCGCUCGCCGGAAGACCAAGGGUUCCUGUCCAACGUUAAUCGGGGCAGGGUGAGUCGACCCCUAAGGCGAGGCCGAAAGGCGUAGUCGAUGGGAAACAGGUUAAUAUUCCUGUACUUGGUGUUACUGCGAAGGGGGGACGGAGAAGGCUAUGUUGGCCGGGCGACGGUUGUCCCGGUUUAAGCGUGUAGGCUGGUUUUCCAGGCAAAUCCGGAAAAUCAAGGCUGAGGCGUGAUGACGAGGCACUACGGUGCUGAAGCAACAAAUGCCCUGCUUCCAGGAAAAGCCUCUAAGCAUCAGGUAACAUCAAAUCGUACCCCAAACCGACACAGGUGGUCAGGUAGAGAAUACCAAGGCGCUUGAGAGAACUCGGGUGAAGGAACUAGGCAAAAUGGUGCCGUAACUUCGGGAGAAGGCACGCUGAUAUGUAGGUGAAGUCCCUUGCGGAUGGAGCUGAAAUCAGUCGAAGAUACCAGCUGGCUGCAACUGUUUAUUAAAAACACAGCACUGUGCAAACACGAAAGUGGACGUAUACGGUGUGACGCCUGCCCGGUGCCGGAAGGUUAAUUGAUGGGGUCAGCGCAAGCGAAGCUCUUGAUCGAAGCCCCGGUAAACGGCGGCCGUAACUAUAACGGUCCUAAGGUAGCGAAAUUCCUUGUCGGGUAAGUUCCGACCUGCACGAAUGGCGUAAUGAUGGCCAGGCUGUCUCCACCCGAGACUCAGUGAAAUUGAACUCGCUGUGAAGAUGCAGUGUACCCGCGGCAAGACGGAAAGACCCCGUGAACCUUUACUAUAGCUUGACACUGAACAUUGAGCCUUGAUGUGUAGGAUAGGUGGGAGGCUUUGAAGUGUGGACGCCAGUCUGCAUGGAGCCGGCCUUGAAAUACCACCCUUUAAUGUUUGAUGUUCUAACGUGGACCCGUGAUCCGGGUUGCGGACAGUGUCUGGUGGGUAGUUUGACUGGGGCGGUCUCCUCCUAAAGAGUAACGGAGGAGCACGAAGGUUGGCUAAUCCUGGUCGGACAUCAGGAGGUUAGUGCAAUGGCAUAAGCCAGCUUGACUGCGAGCGUGACGGCGCGAGCAGGUGCGAAAGCAGGUCAUAGUGAUCCGGUGGUUCUGAAUGGAAGGGCCAUCGCUCAACGGAUAAAAGGUACUCCGGGGAUAACAGGCUGAUACCGCCCAAGAGUUCAUAUCGACGGCGGUGUUUGGCACCUCGAUGUCGGCUCAUCACAUCCUGGGGCUGAAGUAGGUCCCAAGGGUAUGGCUGUUCGCCAUUUAAAGUGGUACGCGAGCUGGGUUUAGAACGUCGUGAGACAGUUCGGUCCCUAUCUGCCGUGGGCGCUGGAGAACUGAGGGGGGCUGCUCCUAGUACGAGAGGACCGGAGUGGACGCAUCACUGGUGUUCGGGUUGUCAUGCCAAUGGCACUGCCCGGUAGCUAAAUGCGGAAGAGAUAAGUGCUGAAAGCAUCUAAGCACGAAACUUGCCCCGAGAUGAGUUCUCCCUGACCCUUUAAGGGUCCUGAAGGAACGUUGAAGACGACGACGUUGAUAGGCCGGGUGUGUAAGCGCAGCGAUGCGUUGAGCUAACCGGUACUAAUGAACCGUGAGGCUUAACCUU
rnacentral:rRNA from 1 species